rnacentral:lncRNA from 1 species
UAGUGGAGAUAAAUUACCAACUUUAAAAAUCUAAACUCAUGUUCACUAAACAAAAAUAAAUUUAGUUUUAGAACAUUGCCUGUUAUGGCAAAGUACUAUAAAUAGUGCAUGGUCAACUUUUCUCAACUCAUUUCUAUAAAACAUUUGAUUAAAAAUAAGAUGAGGAACUUAUUUAGUAUUUAAGGAAAGAAUCCAACAUCUUUCCUAGUACAGAAUUUAACUCAGAAUAUUUAAGCAAAAGCCUAAACCUUUAAAAGUACAAUUUCAAAAAAGUUCCUAAGGUAGAUUUGCUUCAAAAUUUUAGUGCAUUUCGAAGUACUUGUAGCUUCACACAUGGACACCUUUGGAAGACCAACUGUGCUCUUUAUAUUAUUGGAAAAUCGGGGGUUUUUCCUUCUUGUCUGUAAUUAUGAAAAGUUUUUUCCGUAUUUAAAAUGAAAUGUACCUUCAGAACAUUCAUCGUUAGUUGUUAGGAAAACCAAAAUGCCCAUGUCACUGUUUGGCCCAGAACGUAGAGGUGAUAAAGCUGGCUGUGAGGAGAGCCCUUUCGGCUGCUUGGCCUUUGAGACUGUGUCUUGCAGUGUUGCCCGGCCUGGCAGGGACCUCCUGGGCUCUAGCACUCUUCCCGCCUCUGCUUCAAGCAGCUGGGACUACAGAUGUGCGGCAGUACACUGGGCUUCUUCCUCUUUUGGGAAGUUUUCACUGUCUAUUUGGAAGUAUUGCUUUUAAUUGAAUCAAACUUUAAAAACAGCAAGGUUUCCCAACAAUAACCUGUUUCUUUCUGGCAGCUGAUAAGCACAACAGUCAAGUUAUGUAUUUGGAAAGUGUUGCCCUAAAACUAAUCUAGUAAAUGAUUUAAGCAACAGACCAAAAUCACUAGAAAGUGUCUUCGGGGCUGCGCUUUAACAGUGCAGUUGGGAGGAGCCAAGACUGGCUGUGUACGCACAGGCACCCUCGGAAUGGCUUUCCAGCACAGGGAGGGAGAGCAGGUCCAUUACCAGGGCACUUGGGGCUUCACGGGUAGACACUCUCAUAGUUCCCUCUUAUUUACUGUAAGAGGCUAUUUUUUGGUUAAUAAAUGCUUGACAGGGUAUUUCUUUAAGAAGCCAAUUGAGAAUAUUUUCAAGCUAUUAACCAAAUAAAAAUGAAAAAUUUGCAAGGUACACAGAAACCAAUAGUAAGUGACAAUGUUUUAUUGUUUUGCCAGGCUCUCUUCAGAGUAAGCUACUUAUUACACAAUACAAAAAUAAUGGCUUCCUAUAUAAAAUGAACCACUCUAAUUCUAAGUAAGUUAAAUGACACAUUUAAAUGUGCUUCAUAAUAACUCUAUUUAUCCUUUCCCACUGUGGUGACGAUCCCACCGUCUCUGUCCAUAAAGACUCACAGGGAGGACUUUCCAUGGCCUGCUCUGCUCUGGAGAGGCAAGGAGGCUCUGUCUGGGCAUGCUCUGGGUUUGUAGCUGUUUCCUCACUUAUUACGUCUCUGGGUUUCUAGACCAACCCUUCGUGGACAUUACGGGCAAUUAUGCACAGAGGGCAGGAAAGGAGCCUCGGAGGCUCUGGAAGCAUCUCAGUGGGAUGAUGCGCUCACUUCCUCUUUGGUCAUCAAAGACUGGGAAGAAUAAAAUAAUCAGUGUGGCUGUCAAUCUUACCUGACACCAGUAACAGGUGAAUGCAGAAUUUACAUGAAAGAUCAGAUUGAAAAAAGGCAUCUAGCACUCUAGUAUAUUUACCUGUGGCUUUAAAAUAAUACUCAAAAUAUAUAAAUACAUAUAUAAAUGAAAAGCUAAAAACUAACAUGUUUACACAUUAAAUGAACAGAUAUCUCAAAUACCAAACACAAUUUUCAAUUUAGCCCCAAAUUUCAACUUCCAAGAUUUUCAUUUUAUAAUUUAAAUUUGAAAGAACUGUUUUAUGCUUCUCCUUGAAGAGAAAUAUUUAUUACACUGAAAUAACUACUGGUUUUGGUUGUAAUGAAACUAAUUCAACUUAAGUUAUGUGAAUGAAAAUAGUAUUUUAAUUAGGAGCAAACUUAAAGGCAGUUUGUCUAUAAACACUGAAAUGUUAUAAAAGAUUUUAUGAGAAGUGUGCCAUUUUGACAUAUGGCAGAAAGAACAUUAGCUGUAAUGUAUAUCCUGAAGCAUCAGGAGUACAGAUAACCCUGGGAAUCCUUAUGGACAAGUGUAGGAAACUGAUUACAACUGUACUUUAACUCUCAUAGGUGUAAAUGAAAAAGACAGCAAUGCAUCUAACUAUCUAAUGCAUAAAUAACCCUGACCAGACUUUUAUGAAAAGUUAACAAAACCCUUUUUCACUAUCAAACUUCUAUUUUAUAGACUAGAAUGUAUAAAUUUUAAAUUAGCAUAUACCUUAUUAGGGAUGAUCAAACUAAAAACCAAACUACAAACUCCCAAAAGGCCAAACCAAGUGAGAACAAUGUUGAUUGUGUUCAGUGCUGGUUGUGUUGCCCUCUUGCAAAAUGACAGGCAAAAUCGUACUUGUCUUUACAUUUGCACCCACAUACGUUACACUGAAAGGGGCUGUCAUACCCAUGGCACCCCAUGUGGACAGUGUAAAGGACGUUGUCUGCAAAGUACACGUCACAGUGCUGGCAGUGGUGUAGAAGCUGAGGAUCCUGCACCGGCAGGGUUGGAGCUGGAGUGCUUGGCUGGCUGUUUCCUAUGCUGGGAGUACUGGUGUGGGCACUUGGUUCACUGCUGGGCCCUGCCACUGGACUGUAGUUCCUCUGACUAUGCGAUGGCCGCGGUUCCGGACUUGUGGGGGAGGAGCUCUGAGGAAUACUUGCUGACACAGCAGAGACAACUGCUUGGGCAGAGGGUUGCUGAAUCAUGAAAGGCUUUUCAUCAGGGCAGGCAUCUACAUCAGGAGAGGCAGGGUUUUGGUUUUCUGGUGGCAAGCUGGACAACUGUCCUGCUAAAGUAGAGAGCUGAUUCAAAGGGUUGUCAACCAUGAGUUCUUGGGGGUCCCUUGGCAGGCCACCAGUUGGUGUAGUUUUAGCCAUAGCUUCAUAGGAGUCAGUCUGAAUAUUUGGGAUUUCGUGUGUAAAAUCAUUAAGGUAGUCUGGUUUCUGGACCACCAUGGAAGGUGGACUUAAGUUGAUUAGUGCUCUUCUGCUAUACCCCAGAUUGCUUGUUUUCUUUUGUAAAACCCCCCACAUUUUCUUGCUGCUUAAGGAAGACCUGGUACCUUUAAUUGGUACCAUUUUAUGUUUGCGCCUUCGAUGGUGGGACAGGUUACUUCGGUCACUGCAGCGGAAGGAGCACAAUUCACAUUUGUAUGGUUUUUCCCCAGUGUGAGAGCGCAUAUGGGCUUCCAGGUGGCGCUCGUAAGCAGAUGCAAAUGGACAUAAGUGACACCUGUGAGGCUUCUCGCCUGUGUGAGAGAGACAUGGAAGAGACUGCAAGAGGAGCUCACUCAUAGGACUUUUCAUGUUUGUCCACUGCAUGUGAGAACUGAUACAAAAAUAAAAUUCUUUGCAGAAAUGCAUACUUGUAUACUAGGUUUGUAAGAUCUGUAAAGAAACCCAAGAACUGAAAUAAAGCUUAAGAAUUCAUUAGC